rnacentral:lncRNA from 1 species
GGCCGUGAGCAACCGGACCCUACAUCCCGCGUGGGCUGCCAACUGAGGACCCAGAGUCCUCCGCAAUUUCCGUCUCCAGGGUUUCCGCCCAGGUGCCAGCGAUUUCCUUCUAUAAGUUUUGAAAUGACACUCCAUUUGUUUCUUGUUUGCCAUUCAAGAAGAAACGUGAAGACUUCAAUUAUGGACCUGGAGAGGUGGGGCUGAAGAGAUAACGGAAGUCAAUAAAGUUCUUGGCGAUGGCUCAGUUCAUAGAGCACGGUUAUUGAACAUACAUAAGGUCUGGAGUUCAAUCCCCAGCCCUGGAUCAGCCAGCUCCCCAGUCUUACUAUUAAUUAAGGACUAAAUUUUCAAGUUAUUGUCAGUACUCCUGGUUAUUUUUUCCUGUAAUAAGCAAAGAUGUUGGGGUUGAGGCACUUUGAGUCCUGAAUACGCAGCUCUUGGGCCUUCAUGUGCAGCCCUGGCUGCCUGAGCAAAAGAACUGUCAGACGGAG